rnacentral:piRNA from 1 species
GGGUAGAAUAUUGGAGAAAACUA